GAUGAACGCUGGCGGCGUGCCUAAUACAUGCAAGUCGAGCGAACAGACGAGGAGCUUGCUCCUCUGACGUUAGCGGCGGACGGGUGAGUAACACGUGGAUCACCUACCUAUAAGACUGGGAUAACUUCGGGAAACCGGAGCUAAUACCGGAUAAUAUAUUGAACCGCAUGGUUCAAUAGUGAAAGACGGUUUUGCUGUCACUUAUAGAUGGAUCCGCGCCGCAUUAGCUAGUUGGUAAGGUAACGGCUUACCAAGGCAACGAUGCGUAGCCGACCUGAGAGGGUGAUCGGCCACACUGGAACUGAGACACGGUCCCGACUCCUACGGGAGGCAGCAGUAGGGAAUCUUCCGCAAAGGGCGAAAGCCUGACGGAGCAGCGCCGAGUGAGUGAUGAAGGUCUUCGGAUCGUAAAACUCUGUUAUUAGGGAAGAACAAAUGUGUAAGUAACUAUGCACGUCUUGACGGUACCUAAUCAGAAAGCCACGGCUAACUACGUG
rnacentral:rRNA from 1 species